rnacentral:lncRNA from 1 species
GGAUUCCAGGCUAAAUUUACACCAUACAUUGGGAAAAUUAGGAGCAAAAAGAAACAUUUAUAGCAAUGCCUCUUUAAUUGUGUUGAGUUGUAUUUAGGACCAAGAUGUCUCACUACAUAUUGCUGGACAUCCUUCCAGAGAACAGUUGACACACUGGACUGCAGGAGAGCUGGGAAAGACUAAACAGCUGUUGAGAGGAUCCAGGCAUUUGCUUUAUAUAUACUCUGCUUCUCUGCUGCUGACUGUUUUUCCAGUGGAGGUGAUGAGGAUGCCUGGUGUUGGAGGGCCAUUGCCAGACCAGUUAAUUUCCUGAUGGAUAGACAAUACUGAACCUGACCUACUUUCUCUUAUGGGAUGAGCAUGAAAAAGAAACCAAGAUAAUCAUCAUUUAAAGAAGACUAAUAUUUAAAAACAAUAAAGACAUGUUUGUUGUGAUAAUUAUGAUCAACAAUACAAUCCUCUCUUUCUUCUGCUUCAUGGCAUUUGUGAGGCCCCCAGGGACUGUAGGCGGGAGUGUCCUGGGUGGGGUCCCCUGACCAUUUUUUCCUGUGCUGAUCACCUCCCCCCACCCUCAAUCUUCAUUAAGAAUCUCCACCCAGUGAGCCUUGGUUGUUGAGCACAUUCAAUUGGAUAAAAAGGUUGAGAGCCAGUGGUGUAAAUAGAAAAGCAAAGAUUAGC